CCACUGACCUUUGGCUCUUGAUGGUUAAAUCAAGCAAGGGCUAGAGCAUUGAGCUCUGAUACCACUUGUUGCUAAAAUAUGGAGCCAAAGAGAGGGGAUGAAUUGGAUCUUUUUAAAAUUUUUAAGAUUAGUGUACUCAAGUAAUAUGCUAAAGUGUUGAGUGGAGUAAAUUGAUUAGCGAUGAGAGUGAAAUCAAACUCAAAAGAAGGGUAAGCAAGUAAAAAACAUAAUGAAUAAGUAAAGAGAUGCAAGCACAACAAACACAAAAUAUUUAUAGUGGUUUGGUGCUAACUUUGCACCUACAUUCACUCUCC
rnacentral:lncRNA from 1 species